GCCGUGGCCGAACAUAAUGCGGCCGCGGAGCGCACCGAGCAAGAGAAGCAGGAGGCGCGGGUGGCGGAGGUACAACAAGAGCUCCAGGAUCUCGUGGAAAAACAUGAGAGCCUGGAGCGUGACUCGAAGACUCAAGAGUCUAAGCUUGCAUCGGCUCUUGAGAGUGCCAAAGCCGCUAAGGCCGAAGCCUACAAGGCCCUCCAAGAAAUCGAGGCGUUGAAGAAAAUAGCAGCGGGAGCGUUCGCAGAUCUUCCUCGCAGCGUGUCCGAUGCUGCCGCGUUCUACCGGGCCGAGGAGGGGAGCUCGACAGAGAAGGUCUUCUGGUCUCAGUAUGCUGAGGCCGGACAUCCGGUGCCCCUUAGCGACCAGCUGAAGCAGCUGGUCGAGCUCCACAAGGUGGCCGAACAGGCCAUGAAGGGCCUCAUAGUUCGGCUGUGGCCGAAGGAGGCCAUGCCUGGGAGCUACUUCGGCCUGGUGCAGCGGCUGGUGGAUGCAUGUCCAUGGGUUGAAGUCAUCAAGCACUCCGCCUGUAUUGAAGGUGCCCGUCGGGCCCUUUCCCGGGCAAAGGUGCACUGGGGCAAGAUGGAUGCUCAGAAGCUUGUGACGGACGCGCCACCGCAGGGCAAGGAGCAUCGCACGCCCGAGAUGUAUUAUAAGAGUGUCCUGAAGGGUGCCCGCAUUAUUGCGGGUGAGUGCUCCAAAGAUGUAAUAUUUGAGUAG
rnacentral:rRNA from 1 species